UGCAUUUUAGUAUAUGAUGUAUAAGAGUUUUUGAUACUUUAGGAGGUUGUUUAAUUCUACCAGGUGCAA
rnacentral:tRNA from 1 species